AAAAAGCCUGAAGGGAAUGAUUAUGCUCACCAGAACAAAUACAACUAGAAAAGUUACAAUUUCAGGGGAAAUUGUGUGAAGUGUUCUUGCCUCCACCUGUAGUCUACAACUGGAGUGGGCGGAGUAACUGUUAUCAUUUACAUAGCACAUUUAAUUGCAACGUUGUUGCACAGUUACAUUAAACCAUACAUUUAUAAAAAC